AGAGUUUGAUCCUGGCUCAGAUUGAACGCUGGCGGCAUGCCUUACACAUGCAAGUCGAACGGCAGCACGGGGGCAACCCUGGUGGCGAGUGGCGAACGGGUGAGUAAUACAUCGGAACGUGUCCUGUAGUGGGGGAUAGCCCGGCGAAAGCCGGAUUAAUACCGCAUACGAUCUAAGGAUGAAAGCGGGGGAUCUUCGGACCUCGCGCUAGAGGGGCGGCCGAUGGCAGAUUAGCUAGUUGGUGGGGUAAAGGCCCACCAAGGCGACGAUCUGUAGCUGGUCUGAGAGGACGACCAGCCACACUGGGACUGAGACACGGCCCAGACUCCUACGGGAGGCAGCAGUGGGGAAUUUUGGACAAUGGGGGCAACCCUGAUCCAGCAAUGCCGCGUGUGUGAAGAAGGCCUUCGGGUUGUAAAGCACUUUUGUCCGGAAAGAAAACAUCCUGGUUAAUACCUGGGGUGGAUGACGGUACCGGAAGAAUAAGCACCGGCUAACUACGUGCCAGCAGCCGCGGUAAUACGUAGGGUGCGAGCGUUAAUCGGAAUUACUGGGCGUAAAGCGUGCGCAGGCGGUUCGCUAAGACCGAUGUGAAAUCCCCGGGCUUAACCUGGGAACUGCAUUGGUGACUGGCGGGCUAGAGUAUGGCAGAGGGGGGUAGAAUUCCACGUAGCAGUGAAAUGCGUAGAGAUGUGGAGGAAUACCGAUGGCGAAGGCAGCCCCCUGGGCCAAUACUGACGCUCAUGCACGAAAGCGUGGGGAGCAAACAGGAUUAGAUACCCCCGUAGUCC
rnacentral:rRNA from 1 species